AUGCGAAACCCUGCACCCACUUUGUCUGGUGCAAAGUGGGUGCAGGGUCAUCCGGGGGCGGCGCCCCGGGUCUGACGAGCAGCCUACG
rnacentral:hammerhead_ribozyme from 1 species